rnacentral:rRNA from 1 species
AUACGGAGGAUGCGAGCGUUAUCCGGAUUUAUUGGGUUUAAAGGGAGCGUAGGUGGGAUAUUAAGUCAGCUGUGAAAGUUUGGGGCUCAACUUUAAAAUUGCAGUUGAUACUGGUUUCCUUGAGUACGGUACAGGUGGGCGGAAUUCGUGGUGUAGCGGUGAAAUGCUUAGAUAUCACGAAGAACUCCGAUCGCGAAGGCAGCUCACCGGGCCGGAACUGACACUGAUGCUCGAAAGUGCGGGUAUCAAACAGGAUUAGAUACCCUGGUAGUCCGCACAGUAAACGAUGAAUACUCGCUGUUUGCGAUACACUGUAAGCGGCCAAGCGAAAGCGUUAAGUAUUCCACCUGGGGAGUACACCGGCAACGGUGAAACUCAAAUGAAUUGACGGGG